UAGCGUAAAAGACCAAUUUGCCAAGCUUUCAUUUUCAGUGAAAUUUCAUCACAGGAUUAUAAGAAAAAAGAAAGGAAAAAAAGAGGUUGCUUCCUUUGCUGGGUCUGUUUCAAAUCUGCAAUUUCCAAACAUACCNNNNNNNNNNNNNNNUAAUCAUUGCUUUUUGUUUUUAAUUAUGUAUGUGUUUUUUAAUUUGUUAAAUUUGGUUCCUUUUGGUGAAUGUGAACUGUGAUUUUUGGAUUUGAUUCUGUUUCAUCCUAGCCAUGUUGAUUUGGUGUUCAAUAUUUGCUCAAUCUGAAGUUUUGAUGUGUGGUUCUGCAUUGAUUUUACUAAUUAUCCAAAUUGAAUCAAGCUUUGUUUUUCCUAUUUGAACCCUAAUUUUGGUCUUUCCUGAGAAAAAAGUGUUUCUUUGUGUUGGUUUCCAUACAAUUUCUUGAACCUAAUUAGGGUUUACUAAUUUGUACUAUUUCAGAAUUACUGUUUCUGCUGUUGUUGAAUUUAUCUUGAAGGUAUGUUUCUUUGUUGGUUACUUCUAAACUAAACUACAAGUUAUUUUCAAUCAUAACUUGAUACAUAAACAAAACUACAUAUUAGUUUUGUAAGAAAUUUAUUACUUUAUAUUUCGAAACAUUGGGUGUUGGGUAUGACUCAUAGUUUACUCAUAAGUGAGCAACUCACUCGAGCUGGCGAGUGUUUAAACACAACAAGUUGUAAUCUGUAAACUCUAAGCUUGAAUACUAGAAAGAUAUUGCAGACACUCUGCAGUUGGAGACGUAGGCACAAUUGGCCAAACUCUGACAUAUCUCGUGUGUUCUUUUUUUGUGUUUUUCGUAUCCAUUUACUUUUGAACUAGGGUUGUUAUUCUAACUAAGUGACUCUAAUGUGGAACAGAUAACCUGAAUAAAUCUGCAAGGAAUACCUAUCGCAAACACUAGCUUAAAUGCAUUUUUUAUCCUCAUAUUUUAAUAUUUUUAAACUUUUGGUCUCCCAUUUUUUAAAUAAACUUUUUGGUCCAUCUACAAUAAUAUUUUUUCCAUGUCAGCAAUUAAAGUGUCACAUCAUUAAAAUUGGCGGGAGACUAAAAAAUAAGUUGACUUUCUUAAUAGAGGACCAAAAAGGUGGUUUUAGAAAUUUGGGGACUAAAAGUUCAAAAAUAUCAAAAUAAGGAUAAAAAAGUGCAUUUAAGCCAAAACUAAAAAUUUCAAUUUAUUGUAAACGUCAAACUUAAACGACUCCUAAAUACAUUAAUUUGAAUAUCAUAUUUUCUCGGUGUUGCUUUUGGUUAUAUGUAUAUAAGAUUAUGGUUUGUUUUGGUUAUAUGUAUAUAAGAUUAUGGUUUGUGUUAUACUUAAUAUUUAUUAAAAUUUAUAUAUAUUUGAAAUAAUAAAGAAAAUAUGGCUUACUCUUAUAACCCACAAUUUAUCAAAUGAACUAUUAGCAUCUAUAUAAAGUAUUAAAUAAAUUUUAAUUUUUGAAUGUUAAAUAGAAAUGUAAAGUAUAUAUGUUAGAAUGAAUAGAAUCAACACAUCUAAGCAUAUAAAGCAUUUCAUCACAAAUAUAUAAAAUUGAUUAAAAUAAAUAAUUUGAAAAUAACAAAAUAUUGUAUGUAUAUCCGCAGACAAAAAUCACAAUAAGCACUUGGCAAAUAGUUUAACAAAUACACACGAAUAAAAUGUUAUAUUUAAGUACCUGUAAAUUAAUGAAUAAAGAGGAGGAUGUGAUGGUACUUGUACUUGCAUAUAUUUGUACUUCUUAGUAAAUUAAAAAAAUUACUCAAAUAUCAUAUUACUUAUAUGAUUAUUCAAUUAUCCAAAAAGUAAAAUAAUAGUCUUAAAAAUUAACAUAUUAGACAAUGUAAAUAAUAUUCAUUGAUGCUUUAUUUCAUUUCAAAAGAAUAAUCUUAGAGUACAAAACCAUAANNNNNNNNNNNNNNNNNNNNNNNNNNNNNNNNNNNNNNNNNNNNNNNNNNNNNNNUAAAAUAUAAUCAAAUCAUUAAGUGUCAUCACAAUAAUGAAAUGACAACUUAUAAAACAUUCUAAUAGUGCAUUUGUGUAGCAUCUUGGGUCUAACACUCACUCAUAUAAUCCAUGACAAUCGGUUAAAAUGAGCCAUAACUCAUACUUGAAUAGGACUUUAAUCACAAUAACAAUAACCAUGUGUUUUUUCACACUUCACAAAAUAAGGAUAUAGACACAACUUCGGUGGACAUUCACGCUUAUGCUUACAUGGAAUAGCCGCUGGAAUGAACUAAGACAAAAAAAGGUUAAUAAAAUGGGAUAAAAUAUUUUGCAAAAAGUAAAGAAGAGAAUUUAAAAAUGAUAUAAAAGUGACUUACGCGGACUUUUCGUUGCAACAAUAAAUAGGGGGAAAAAGAUAAUCAUAACAUAAAUAAACUUGAAAAUUUUAGUCAUAUUUUCUACCAUUUUCAUGUAUUAGAUAGAAUAUGGUUUUACCACUUUAUGAUUUAUAAAUAUGAUGUUCUCCUU
rnacentral:lncRNA from 1 species